AUGGAAUUGGGGAGGAGCAGUUCUCCAAAGGAAGAUAUGCUCAACAAUUUAGAGAAAAGCAUGAACAUAAUGAGGAAAUAAAUUGAAGAUAAGAAGACUCAAACAGAACUCCUAAGGGAGGAAAAAUACAGUGUUUAAAAUGAAAAUGUUACCAGAUAGGAUGAAAAGCUAAUUAGAUACUGCAAAAGAAAAGAUCAGUGAACUUGAAG
rnacentral:lncRNA from 1 species